rnacentral:tRNA from 1 species
GCCCACAUGGCUCAAUGGUUGAGCAUCGACCUAUGAACCGGGAGGUCAUGGUUCGAUUCCCUGUCAGGGCA